rnacentral:lncRNA from 1 species
CACCGUGCCUACUUGCGCUGUGAUCACCAAGGCCCCCUCAUGUGGCUCAAUGGGUUCCGAAGGAUAGUCAGCAUCGGUAAAUGAUAUGACAGUCCCGGGGAAUGGUCUAUCCACUUUCAGGGGAGCCUCUGUCACAGUCAUGACCGAAUCCAGAUAAGCCCUUCUCUUCCUCCCUAUCAACUUCCCUGCAGACCCACCGGUUAUCACAUCGAUCACAUGCCUUGGCGACAGUACUGGAGCCCUUUGAACCGUCUGAACAGCACGGUUAAUGUUCUGC